CACUUGUUACAUGGCUACCUGAUACUUUAUUACAUUUCUAGUGGCGACGGGUGAGUAACACGUUGGAACCUGCCCCAAAGUUGAGGAAUAAGCCACCGAAAGGUGGUCUAAUACUUCAUAAUAUCCAUCUCGUAUGGAUUAAAGCUUUAUGCGCUUUGGGAGGGGCCUGCGUAACAUUAGCUUGUUGGUGAGGUAAAAGCUCACCAAGGCUUCGAUGUUUAACUGGUUUGAGAGGAUGACCAGUCACACUGGGACUGAGAUACGGCCCAGACUCCUACGGGAGGCAGCAGUAAGGAAUCUUCCACAAUGGGGCAACCCUGAUGGAGCAAUACCGCGUGCAGGAUGAAGCGUUUCGGCGUGUAAACUGCUUUUAUCACCGAAGAUUAUGACUGUAGGUGAAGAAUAAGGACCGGCUAACUACGUG
rnacentral:rRNA from 1 species